rnacentral:lncRNA from 1 species
ACGGGCGGGGGAGGAAAAGGAGAGGUAAGGAAGGAGGACAGCGGCUCCCAGGCUAGAGGAAGGAAUCUGGAAGCAGUCGGAGCAGCAGGUCUGGGGAACUGUUCAUUUGCAGUGCCUCAGAGUUUGCAGACUCGCAGCUCGCCAGUCGCUCUGGGCGAGGGCUGCUGGCGGAGACCGGACGCCAGAGUUUAAAAUGCAAUGGCCAGAAGACAAGGAAGUAUCACUAGAAUUAUGUGGACAUGGACUCCGGGACUGCUGAUGAUGACUGUGAUCUUUUGGAGUCAGCAAGGGAAUGGACAAGGCCAAGACAGGUCAAGGUUAGAGAAAGAACAAAACAGCACAAGACAGGCAUAUGCGGUCGGGGAGACAAGAGAGCAACGGGGAGAAAAGUAACACUGCAUGGGCUAGAAGCAUAGAUCUUGGAGACCAUCCGACUGGGACCCGUCGCCUUUCUGGAUCUCUGUUCCUCGUCUGUAAGAUCGGGUUACAAACAUCUUGUCUCAUAUAGUCCUUUUGAGAAAUGAGUUGAUUUUUUUAUGUAUUUCUAAUACUGUAUAUUUAAAAAAUAAUUGGAACAUAGAAAAGGUCAAACUUCACUGUUUGUAAAAUAAAAUUAAAUGACAUAAUGUAAGAAGCUCUUUCAAAUAGUAAUGCAAAAUAUGACACAGUUCAACUUUUUAGUCUACAUUAUAAAACUGAUGUUGAAAAGCCCAUUAAUUUAGAAAGUAUGAAAAAUAAAUUAUGCAAUCAAAUUUCAAUAAAUUUUUACUUUUUAAUCU